CAUGACAACGCGCCACGAGUGGCAAAAGCUCAAAAGCCUUAGGAAGUGGCAAUUGUUUUGGGUUAAGUUCAGUAUGAUUGUUGUAAGCAAGCGUCACGUGGAUUGGAUUCUGAAUUUUCUGCUACUGGUGAUUGUUCUAUUGGCUUGGGGCUAUGUCAUAGUGGCUGGGCGAUUUGCAUCAUUAAAAUAUUUGCAGAAAAUAUGAGCCAAAUGCCCAAAUGUUGAACCAGGGACAAUAGCUCACAGGAUCCACACUUUCUGAAGUGGCUUGGCCAAAAACGUUUGAGAAUGGAAGUUAUACAGGAUAAUGCUGCUAUGCUGAGUAACUAUGAGGUGUUCUCACUACUGCAGGAUAUUCAGCAUGGGAAAAGCCAGGAGAAACCAGGGAAGCACCAAGAGCAGUUAUCUACCAUUGUAUACGAGACAACCAAACACUUGGGAAACACAACAUGUGUGCAUCAAACCCCAGAGGUCAUACAGAACUUUAUGGAAGCGCUGAAGCCUUACAAAUUAACAAAGGCAGAGAAGUUGCAACUGCUGAACCAUCGGCCUGUGUCUGCUGUUGAAAUACAGUUGAUCGUUGAAGAGAGUGAGGAACGAUUGACAGAAGAACAGAUUGAGGAACUGUUGCUGGUUGUAGAGAAGUAUCUGCCUGGGGGAGAGCAGGAAGAGGAGGUAGGGGAGGAAUACCAGCAGAUGGAAUACCAUUAGGAUUGCUUAGGUGGUGACAUAGGAGGAAAUUACGUGUACAAGGAGGUUGGGUAUAUAGAGAUCAGUCAGAGGCACUAAGGCCCUGUGAGAGAACUACCAGUGGGUAUUCCAGGUCAGCCAGUGACCUGUGACACAGCUACCAGUAGGAAGAGUAGGUCAGCUAGUGAUCUGUAAAAGCUCUAACAGUGGAUAGAAUAGGUCAGCCCAUGACCUGUGAGAGAACUACCAGUGGAUAAAAUAUAAGUGAUCUAUGAGAGAACUAUCAUGGGAUUGAAUAAAGUACAAUUAGUUGGUGACCUAUAAGGGAAUUACUUGUACAAGGAGGUGUGGUAUAUGUAGGUCAGUCAUGGGACCCAGAGGACCUUUGAAAGAACAACCAGAGGAUGUAGUAUAAGUAGAGAGUAACCUUUAAAAGAACUACCAUGGUAUACAAAGUGCCAUGGGUCAGUCAAUAACCUCUGUGAGAACUACUGGUGGACAGAGAAUAAAUUAGUCACUUGUGAGACAAUACACAGGAAACUGAUGUACAAAGUAGGUCACUCAGUAACACAUGGGAGAACUAUCCGAGAAGUGAUUAGAAGGCGGUCACUUAUGAACCAAUCAGGGUGCUACCAGGAGGUGAAGCAUAAGUGCAUGUGUGUACAGAUGUGCAAAUUUUAAUCAAUAUUUCAAGCUAAUGAUAUCCUUGGCUCCUUUCUUACAUGUAUCUCUCUUGGAAUGCCGUGCUGGCUCUUUCAAAAAGUGGUCUCUCCUAUUAACAAUAUUCAUCUGUCUAUAUGACAAGAAUUACCAGUGGCACAAAUGUACAAUACUGUAAAUCUUCAACCUUUUCGCAUAUUUGCAAGAUGUUUAUUCAAGCAUUUUCUGAGGGCAUUAUUCUAUUAAGAAAUAAAUUUAUACUUUUUGUGAGGCCCUGAAAUUGGCCAAGCCAACCAGUGUAGUUUUUUCCCCAGUAUCAAAUUUAAAAUGUGCAUAAAUGGAGAUGAAAGUUGUUUUUUCAUAUGUGAAAAGGUUGAAGAAGUAGUAUAAGACAGUGUGUUAAGUAGAUGCUCUUCAAGAAUUAUGUUUCCAAAAGAGAUAAUUUUCACCACUGGCCUGAUAAGUUCCAUUUAGCUACAUGUAUAAAUAAAAUGAUGUUUAUCUACCAAUUUAUACCUAGGUAUGAUACAGGGACCAGUUGCUCAAAAGUUAAGGUAGACCUAAAUCUUAAUACUACUCUCAUCUUGAUGCAAAGUUAAUGUGGCCUUUGUCCAGUCUAAAGGUAAUACCAGAUCUGCCAGUCACUGAUACACUUUUGAACAACAGGGCUCUAAUAUGGGAUGACUGGUUUGGUAAUUUUGUUAUGGGAGUCUCCCAUAUACAUAUGUAUGAUACAUAAUUGGUGUUUAAUUAGGAGUUAAUUUUUGAUUUACAUAUCUUACAUGUAUUUAAAGUUACAAUUUAUUUUCAGUUUUUUCCAAAGUUGUCCUUUCUGUGGCCAAAUAAAUGUUCUGUUGUUAUGCAAACUGAAAUCAAUUUGAAGGCAUUUUAUGUUCUGUUAGCUUCUGCAGCUAAAU